ensembl:ncRNA lncRNA:CR45233 long non-coding RNA:CR45233
GUAAAUGAAUGUUGCAAUUUCAAAUAGCAAUUGUUCUUGAUUUUAAAGCACAUGAGCACUAGACUGAUUCGAAUUGGACAUUUGAAUCUUUAACGGGCGGAGAAUAUAAAACACCGGCAAAAUAAAUAAAGAAAGGAGCCACAACAAACGGAAAGCCAGAGGCGUAGUCAUUCUCUUCGCAAAUCAGCGGGGGUUACCAUUCGAGCAGCAUACAACCCUCUCUGAGAGAGAAUUGACAUGCCACUGGAUCUCACACAUACAAUGAAAGGCACACUCACUCAAAGUAGACAGCACUGCCAGACUUAAUGCAAUAGUAUAGCAGUUGGUGUUGGCAGUGCCAUUUGAUCGCUGGAGGUGCUGCCAACGCAUUUACCAAUUAAUUAAUGACCACCCCUAAAUGUUGUAAAUUAUAAAAAUUAUUCAAGAAUAUUACGAUUUUGGUUAAAUUAAUGUACAAAAUAAAAUAUUUCAUAUUUGUAUUGGCUGUCAAAUGAAGUUAUUUUAUUUUAAGAUAAAUGCUAACAAAUCUUAGAGAAACUGGAAAACAAGGUUGAGCGGUUUUGAGAAUUAUGAACAACGCGU